rnacentral:miRNA from 1 species
AGCCUUUGGUACUUGAAGA